GUUUGUUGGUUGUGCUGUGAAGGAUUCAGUGCUGGGAGGAGCUACACCUGAGAAAUUACUGAGAAGUGUGCUUAUGCCACAUUGCUGUUCAUCCUCAUAUUAAGGGUACAGACAACCCUCAGCUCAGAAGGACGGAGCAGCAUUAAUCUUAGGAGAGCACAGUAGCAUUCCCCAAAUGAUCACAGAACCUGAAGCACCUGCAUCUGGUCUUUGCCUGCUGCCAGUGCUAAACCCUCAUCUCACAAAGCAAAAGUCUGGACCCACAAGGAUGUUCAAGAUGGAGCUGGGACCAACAAGGGGUAGAGCCAUGGAAAGAAGCAAGCUUUGCCUGGGUGGGAAACAACUUCCUGGGUUGGGCAACACAAGUCUUCCUCACUUUCUAUAAAUUCUGGAAAAGGUGGCAUGUAACCAUGAUGCUAUUAAUACCUUCCGAAGUCUGGGAUUUUACAGCAAACAAAAAACUCUACAGACAAACAAAACCAGAUUUCAGACUCAUUGCAGAACACAUCCUGUAAAAUAUCAAAACAAAAGCAUCCAGCUUUAUGAGGUUGGAACUUUUCCCUUAGAUCUCAUUAAUUCAUCUCUGUAACUUGGAAAAAGGAUGAAAGUUGUCAGAAGCUGCAUUUAAUUUAAUUUUUUCUCUUUACAUUUGUCACCAAAAUUCAUAUAAUUCUGAGAAAUACAUAAGAUUUUUUAUUAGCAGAUGAAAAUUCCGCAGCAGAUGUCUGGCAAUAUCUUUGCACACCCAAACAAGAAAUGUGAGGUGUAUUUCCAUCAAAAACAAAAAAGAAAAGAAAAAAAAAAUCCAUGUCUUUGUAGGGAAUUAUCUAAUAAUACAGAAAAAUAGAGGAAAUUUUUAGGUUGCUGUGGUGGUGUGCAAUUGAGAAAACUUUGCCACAUGGAGGUUACUUUAAUAGUUUACAUCUUGAGUGGGUUGUUAAAUUUGCCUUGUAAAUAUAGCUAGUAAUUGAUCCAGAAUGAGAAAACACUGUUUAUUAUUCUCAUUUCCUCCAUAUCAAGAGUUUUCAUACAUCCAGUUAGAAGUGGAAACAAACACAAUUCGUUUGGUGCUAUAGAUGGAGCUGAACUGCUCACCAGGAGGGAGGGGUGGGAAUUGCUUCUGGUGGUGAUGCUACCACCAAACGAGGAGGUUUUUGUAAGUUCUGAGUAUCUAUCUCUUUGUGGCAUUCAGUGUUGUGGUUUACUUGGAGGAAGAUGAAUCUGGGGUCUAGAAGCCUGUGGGCUGACAAUUGGGAUUCAUGGCCUCAGGCUGAUAAUAUAUUAAAUUGACUAAAAGCAACAUGGAGUAUAAAAUAGGCUUGAUCUAGCAGAUCUCUUCUUCUGAACUGUGGGUUCUAUUGAAGGAACAUCCUUCUGCAUAUUGUACAGAAGAGUUUACAAAAUCUGUGUAUAGUUGCAAUUAUAUGUUUUUCAAGUAAUUUGACAGCUUAAAAUGCAAUGUGGUUGUCUGACAUGGAUCUAAAUAUGGUAUCUCACAAAUAUAUAAGUGUUAAAAAAUUAGGCUGUGGUUUGAGGCUUUGUGGGAUUUUUCUUAAGGAUGUUCUCUGGAAAAUAUUUUGUCCAAAAAUAUUGUAAUAAAUUCUAACCAUGUUUUCCUUUUUGGA